rnacentral:rRNA from 1 species
GAAUUCGCCCUUAGAGUUUGCUUUUGGCUCAGGACGAACGCUGGCGGCGUGCUUAACACAUGCAAGUCGAACGGAGCACCCCUGAAGGAGUUUUCUUACAACGGAUGGGAAUGCUUAGUGGCGGACUGGUGAGUAACGCGUGAGGAACCUGCCUUCCAGAGGGGGACAGCAGUUGGAAACGACUGCUAAUACCGCAUGAUGCAUCGAAGUCGCAUGGCUUUGAUGUCAAAGAUUUAUCGCUGGAAGAUGGCCUCGCGUCUGAUUAGCUAGUUGGUGAGGUAACGGCCCACCAAGGCGACGAUCAGUAGCCGGACUGAGGGGUUGGCCGGCCACAUUGGGACUGAGAUACGGCCCAGACUCCUACGGGAGGCAGCAGUGGGGAAUAUUGGGCAAUGGACGCAAGUCUGACCCAGCAACGCCGCGUGAAGGAAGAAGGCUUUCGGGUUGUAAACUUCUUUUAAGGGGGAAGAGCAGAAGACGGUACCCCUUGAAUAAGCCACGGCUAACUACGUGCCAGCAGCCGCGGUAAUACGUAGGUGGCAAGCGUUGCCCGGAUUUACUGGGUGUAAAGGGCGUGCAGCCGGAGAGACAAGUCAGAUGUGAAAUCCACGGGCUCAACCCGUGAACUGCAUUUGAAACUGUUUCCCUUGAGUGUUGGAGAGGUCAUCGGAAUUCCUUGUGUAGCGGUGAAAUGCGUAGAUAUAAGGAAGAACACCAGUGGCGAAGGCGGAUGACUGGACGAUAACUGACGGUGAGGCGCGAAAGCGUGGGGAGCACACAGAAGUAGAUACCCUGGUAGUCCACGCUGUAAACGAU